rnacentral:lncRNA from 1 species
AUACAGAAGUUCCGGCCCUGCGUGAAAGCAACAGGCCUUGAGUUAGGCACGGCAGGAGAUGUGAGCAAGGGUGGGUCACAGAGGGCCCAGCUCAUGGGAUGUCAUUAGUUCAUAUUUGAUUUUAAACGCCAGGCUAUCUGUGGAGGUUCCAUUAUUUCUAAUUCUGGGAGAACUCUGAGCUCUGAUAUUUUUAUUACUUCUCUUGUAUGGCCCUCUUUGGUCAUCUGUUACUGUGCAGCAGCUUACGGGGACAAGUUACUAUGCUGUGCAGUUUCUGUAGAUAAGGAAUCCGGGAGUCAAUGGCCCAGAGCUGCCUCUGGGGUUAUGGACCAGGGCUUCCCCAGGGCGAGUCAUCCUGGAGCUAGAAGGACCGCUUGCUAGGACCCUGCCGUGCUAGCUAACAGGCUUCUGUACUUCCAGCUGUCUCUGGCUGGAAACUUCAGAUCCUCCUCACAGGAGGCCUUCCUAACUAUGGAGGAGCCUUUGUGAUAUGGUGGCAGCUUCUGCAAAGUAGCUGAGGAAGGUGAAUGAGAUGGAGAGCUAAUAAAAGGAAUUAAGACAGAAGCCAUAAUCGGACAACCCAAGCUUGGAAGCGAGGGAACCUCCCUUCUGUUUUAUUCUCCUCAUCAACUUCUUAGAAAUGAGUCUCUGAGCCCACACUCAAGGAGAAAACAGUAAAGCUUCACUUCUGCAUGAGUUCCUUUCCUGUCACUGUGACAAAACACCAGGACCAAAGCAAGAGGCCGCAACGGUGUGGGUGGGGGGAGACAAGGCAGCCUGGUUAGAACUGGAAGCUGGGGGAGUGCUAAGGGAGCGCAUCUCCUACCACACAGAGAACGCAGAGAGUGAGCUGGAAGUCGGCACAGGCAUGUGCCCCCCUGAGGCUACACCUCCUGCAAGUUCCACAACCCCCCAGUCAGCACAGCAAUAGAGGACAUUCCUAGUUCAAGCCACUACAGCUUCUAGAGAGGAUUAUCAGAAUUCAUGCACAGAUUUUAAAAGACACCCCAGCCUGUCAAAAAAAAUACC